ensembl:lncRNA
AUGGAGAGGCAGAUGAUACUUAUAAUGCUCAUCACAGUUUCAGGUGGAUUUGCUGAUAGAAUUGGGCCAAGUGAAGGAGAUACUUAUAUAAUCGGAGAAGAAGGAGAGCCUGUGACACUGAGCUGCACAUUUGAAAUUAAAAGCAAUGAUAUUUGGCUUUACUGGUACAGACAAUAUCCAAACAGAGAACCAGAAUAUAUACUGUAUAACGGUGCUCGAUCAAGGACCCAUCAGAAAAAUAUACCUGAUGGUUUUCAGUCAACUACAUCCCAGUCGUCCACUGAACUCAUUAUUAACAGUGUAACUCUGUCAGAUUCGGCUCUCUAUUACUGUGCUCUAAGAGUAGUAGCAGCACACAGUGAUACAAAAUGCAUGAGAAGCUUUACAAAAACUCACAUGAAAUUAAUGCUUUGAAGAGUCUUUAAUCAAUCAGAAACAAAACACAUCAUGUUUUUAUAAACCACAAACAGAAAAUGUGGAAACAGCUGUGAAUUUGCUAAAAAAAAAAAAAAAAAAGUUUGAAUAAGAGCAUGUGAAUACAAUAUAUCAUGCAUAUCAUAGUUUCACAUUAUCACUUUAAUAUCUUUUUUUCUGAUUUUAUGUUGUAUCUGAAAUCAGUUAAAUCCUUGUAAAACAACAACAAAACAGCACACACACACACAAAAACUUAUUUAUAGUCAUGAUUAUGAAUUUUGUUCUUCAGGUGUCACUUUUAUGAAUGUACUCCCUAGUCUGAACAAUAAAAAGGAGCAAAUAGAUAAAAGUUAGACAAUAAAAACAUUACAUUAAAAUAUGAACAACACCUUCUCACAGAGUCUUCUUAGAUUAAUCAGUAUAUUUGACUUUACUAAAAAGCAGGUCUUAAUACUUUUAAGGCUUUGAUGAAAAAUAUUACAGAUCAGAUCAGAUCAGAUCAGAUCAGAGAGAGAGAAUAUGCUUCAUAGAUUCAGGACUGUGGCUUUGCCUUUGAUAAGAGGUGCUGGAUGGAGACAUCCUUUGGUAGACAGUUAAUGAAUGUUUACUUCAGCUACUCUUUGUGAUGCAGAUGAACUGAAACAUCAUCCUGAAAAAUUAAUCUUUGUUGUUGUUGUUGUUGUUUGCCUUUGCUCUGUUCUCCUUCAUUUCUGCUGUCAUGAUUUUCUUAAUCUGGUAAUUUGUCAUUCUUUUUUUCAUGAGAUAAAAAAUACUGAUCCUUUCAUCUACAGCUGUCAAUUUUUGCAAAUGUCAUCACACCCAGUUUUAAUCAAGACACCCUUGCUCAAUUUUAUGGGAGUGCAGGUUUUAGGGGAGGUGCUCUCUGGAGACAUCCUCUUCUACACAGUGCUGUCUGUGAAGCAGAUGAACUAACCCACUGCAAAAUGGUGCUCAGCUUUUCACUUUUGUUCUGCACUUUUGCAUGUAAGAAUUUUCUAUAUACAUUCUUAUAUCAUUAUACUGCAUAUUUUCAUAUUUUCCAUUCAAUUUAAAUGUUUUUUUUUUACUUCUUUUUCUUUUUGGUUUCUUGUGCUUUUGUAUUUUAUGACAAUGGAGUUAAUGAUUAAAUCUGAUUCACAGGUGUGAGUUUUGGAAAUGUCAUCACACCAGUCCAGCCUGAGGUGUCUGGGACAGAGGGGGACAAUAUAACUCUGUCCUGUAACUACUCUUCAGCAGUUAGUCUGCAGUGGUAUCGCCAAUAUCCAAACUCAGCUCCUGAAUUUCUUUUGAUAAUACUGCAUAGCUCAGGGAAAGUUUCACAGAAGUCUAAAAUUGUAGAACAAGAUCCUCGAUUCACUGGGAAAGUGAAUGAAAAGAAAACCCAUGUGGAUCUGGAGAUCUCCGUUAAAGUGACAGACUCUGCUCUGUACUACUGUGCUCUGACGCCCACAGUGACAGGAAACACAACAACACUGUACAAAAACCUGACUUAUGUUAAUUAUCCAGUGGGUUAAUUGUUAAUCAUCCAGCAAAUUCCUCAAGACAUUUGUUUGAAAAAUUAAAAAUCAGUAAUUUACUGAAGAAAAACAUUUUUUAUAUUUUGAUAUAUCAAUUAAGGUAGUUUACUGUAGAACCUAUAGAAUUAUAUCUGAAAAUACAUUAAUAUAUAUAAUAUAUUAAUAUAUCUAUAUUUAAAAUCAAAAGAAAGAAAACAGUGAAGUAACUCAAACAUAUUUCCCAUUCAAGAAAGCACAUUAUUUCAUAUAGUUUUGAGCUCCAACAGAAGGGGGCAACACAAUCUCACAAAUUAUGCUUCACAAGCAUUUCCCUGAUGUUCACCAAAGAUGAUUGAGAAGUGCUAUCAACGUUUCUUUGCAAAGAAAGCUGUGAAUUUGGGAGGUAAAAAGGGUUACAUAACGAUUUAGGAUGUAUUGCAUAUUUUUGUCAUAUUAGCUUGUUUGUUAGGUUAUCUCUUUUCUCAUAUUAUGUAGUAUAAGAAGUCUCAUUAAAAACUAUAGAAACUCAUGUGUAUGAACAAAAUGGUAAUACAAUAUUGGUAGGAGCAGAAAAAUUAAGAACAUAAAAGGGUUAUCAAAAAAUAAUUAAAAGAAAUAAGCAUAUAUUUAAACAGCCAUUUAAUCUUUUCUUUUGUGCAUUGUAAUUCAGACUCAUUGUCAGGACAGGAGGAGGAGUUUAGCACAGACACUAUACAGCAUGCAGCUGGGUAAAGAUGAACAUCACUCAACACUGUGUGGAGCAGCUGCUCUGUUUUUAGUUUGUUCUUACUAGUUCAGUGAGUGAACAUGUUGCUUUAUAUUAUUAUACUGCUGUCAUCAACUGAAGGUAUAAUAUUGUAAAAAUAAAAGCAUUUUAUUCCAAUAGAAGUGUUUAAAAACUGCAUUUAACACCACUUUUAUCUUCAGGUUCCAGAGCCUCAGAAGUCAUCACUCCAAAAAGUGACAGAGAAUUUGCUCUUGAGGGUGACAAUGUGACACUCUCCUGUAACUACAGCGGUUCUGCUCGUGGUGUUCACUGGUAUCGACAAUAUGCAGGAUCACCACCACAGUUCCUCAUACUGGAAGAUUCAGGGGUUACAACUCCAGCUAAUCCAUCAGUUCCAGGAAUAACCAUCAGUCACAGAAAAAAAGAAAGCCAUGUGGAUCUGGAGAUCUCCUCUGUUAAAGUGUCAGACUCUGCUCUGUACUACUGUGCUCUGAGGCCCACAGUGACAGGAAACACAACAACACUGUACAAAAACAGUUUUCAUAUGCUUAUCAAGACUUGAUAGAAAUGUACAAACCACAGCUGGACUCGACAGCACAAAGGUCAAAAAAGAGAGAAAGAGACAGUGUACAACUGCUAAUGAAAUUAACUUAUUGUUAAGUAAGCUGACUUUACUUGCAUAGACAGUAAGUAACUCUGAAGGGACCUUCUGACAUUCUUCCACAGAUAUCCUAAAUAAUGCAACUACUAACUACUAACUACUAACUACUAACAGUUGGCUUCUGUUAGUUACAGUACAUCAACCAAUAAAAUAUAUCUCAUAUACAACUCAGAACAUCUUUAAUGUUGUUAUAGGCCUAAAUGCAAUGUCUCACAGAUAUUUUUAAACUAAACUGCUACAUAUACUGUACCUGCAACAGUUACUAAAUAUAACAACUGUGUACUUUGUUUAAUGGAUGAAUUGAUAAAAUAAUAAAAACAAAUAAAAGUUCUAACAAAAGACUACUGAUUAAAAAAGUAUUGUAUAUUGGUCUUUGCUAAAAUGUCUACAAAUUUGAAAUAAUUGGUAAAUGAUCACCACAAAAACAUCUACCGUAGGUUCAGAGAGAGAUGAUCUGCUUCAUGAAUUCAGAGCUGUAGAUUUAAGGGGAGGUGCUAGAGACAACCUCUGCUAUAAAAUAAAUGAAUGUUACUUC